AAAAAAUCGAUGAAAGAACGAGUAGAUUUCAACCUAAUCGUAUAAGAGAAAGUUGCCUUGGCUGAAAGCAACUUCAUUAGUGAAAUUAAAAGACAUUCUGGAGAUGAACGGAGGAAAAGCCGUUCCGUUGCGAGCGUUAAUCGUUAGAGGAAAGAGCAAUCUUUCGAAACUUAGGUGGUACCGCGUGUGUCUAUUCACUCGCCCUUGUA
rnacentral:ncRNA from 1 species